rnacentral:rRNA from 1 species
AGUGAACGCUGGCGGUAGGCCUAACACAUGCGAGUCGAACGGCAGCACAGUAAGAGCUUGCUCUUACGGGUGGCGAGUGGCGGACGGGUGAGGAAUACAUCGGAAUCUACUUUUUCGUGGGGGAUAACGUAGGGAAACUUACGCUAAUACCGCAUACGACCUACGGGUGAAAGCAGGGGAUCUUCGGACCUUGCGCGAUUGAAUGAGCCGAUGUCGGAUUAGCUAGUUGGCGGGGUAAAGGCCCACCGAGGCGACGAUCCGUAGCUGGUCUGAGAGGAUGAUCAGCCACACUGGAACGGAGACACGGCCCAGACCCCUACGGGAGGCAGCAGUGGGGAAUAUGGGACAAGGGGCGCAAGCCUGAUCCAGCCAUACCGGGUGGGGGAAGAAGGCCUUCGGGUGGUAAAGCCCUUUUGUUGGGAAAGAAAAGCAGCAGGUUAAUACCCCGCUGUUCCGACGGUACCCAAAGAAUAGCACCGGCUAACUUCGUG